UCAUUUUGGAUAUUGCCAUAUGGUAUGCUCUUUAUUGUUGAUUGUUUUCUCUGUCAUGUCACUAGCCAGAAGGACAUGUUAGUUUAAGUCCUGCUUCAAGGACCCCUGGAGGCAUUUCUGAGGGAGAGAAAAAUGAACUGAGAAAGGAGGAGCAGACAGUGCCUUUACUUCAUUGAUGUUGGCCUAUUUGAACUCAUUUGUGGAAGAAAACAUUGACUGAGCAUCUGAGAUCAGUGCGGCGGUCCCUGGGAUGGGUUCUAAGGAUGCAGCGGUGAGCACCCAGGCAUCUCCCCUACUUUCAGAUGGCUCAUUUCAGGUGGUGAUCACUGGACAGCAGCUGCUUGGAUAUACUGUGAUCAUGUCAAGUGAUGCUCUCUAGGUGAUUUGGAUGUGAUCCUGAGAGAUCCUUCAUUUUGGGAACUUUGUGUUCCACCACAUUUGAAAGCGGAUUAUCUGCACCAGCUGAGCGACCUUGGACAAGUUUCUCUCUCAGCAUCAGUCAUCUCCUUCCAAAAAACCAGGAAGAGUUGUCCUUCGAUGUGUACAAAGAUGACAUUCAAUAUCAUGAGUAUAAAAGUGCAUGCCACGAUUAGACAUACUGAUGUAAGUGACAGGUCUGUGAGAUGCCAUUUUUCUUUGCUCAGGAAGAUCUCUACGAACAAAGACUGCGUGUCCUGGUAGAGAAGGCUGACUCACACACAUCAUCAGGACAACUCAAAUGGACUCCCAGUCUGUUUUCUGGAUAAGAUUUAACAUUGACUUCCCAAAGGGCACAGGUUGCAAAGGUGGGCCUUUGGAUGAAGUGGCAUGAACAUCGAGGGUAGAAGACUGGGGGUAGAGUUGGGGCUGGCUUCCCACUGAAGAAGGAACCACAUUGACGGUUCUCAACAUCACACAACUGAAGAGAACAUUUUUCUCGCACUGAGUAGCUAAGAGCCACAAGCUUCUGGAGGCAUUCCCAGUGCUGGGGACAGUUACUGUGUUUCAGAGUCACCCUUGUAUUGAAUUCAGCCAGUUAUCACUUAUAUCAUUCAGGUC
rnacentral:lncRNA from 1 species